UGGGGAAUAUUGCACAAUGGGGGAAACCCUGAUGCAGCAACGCCGCGUGAGUGAUGACGGUCUUCGGAUUGUAAAGCUCUGUCUUCAGGGACGAUAAUGACGGUACCUGAGGAGGAAGCCACGGCUAACUACGUGCCAGCAGCCGCGGUAAUACGUAGGUGGCAAGCGUUGUCCGGAUUUACUGGGCGUAAAGGGAGCGUAGGUGGAUAUUUAAGUGGGAUGUGAAAUACUCGGGCUUAACCUGGGUGCUGCAUUCCAAACUGGAUAUCUAGAGUGCAGGAGAGGAAAGUAGAAUUCCUAGUGUAGCGGUGAAGUGCGUAGAGAUUAGGAAGAAUACCAGUGGCGAAGGCGACUUUCUGGACUGUAACUGACACUGAGGCUCGAAAGCGUGGGGAGCAAACAGGGUUAGAUACCCUGGUAGUCCACGCCGUAAACGAUGAAUCCAGGUGUAGGGGGUUGUCAUGACCUCUGUGCCGCCGCUAACGCAUUAAGUAUUCCGUCUGGGGAGUACGGUCGCAAGAUUAAAACUCAAAGGAAUUGAC
rnacentral:rRNA from 1 species